GACGAACGCUGGCGGCGUGCUUAACACAUGCAAGUCGAACGGAAAGGCCCUGCUUUUGUGGGGUGCUCGAGUGGCGAACGGGUGAGUAACACGUGAGUAGCCUGCCCUUGACUUUGGGAUAACUUCAGGAAACUGGGGCUAAUACCGGAUAGGAGCUCCUGCUGCAUGGUGGGGGUUGGAAAGUUUCGGCGGUUGGGGAUGGACUCGCGGCUUAUCAGCUUGUUGGUGGGGUAGUGGCUUACCAAGGCUUUGACGGGUAGCCGGCCUGAGAGGGUGACCGGCCACAUUGGGCCUGAGAUACGGCCCAGACUCCUACGGGGGGCAGCAGUGGGGAAUAUUGCACAAUGGGCGGAAGCCUGAUGCAGCAACGCCGCGUGCGGGAUGACGGCCUUCGGGUUGUAAACCGCUUUCGCCUGUGACGAAGCGUGAGUGACGGUAAUGGGUAAAGAAGCACCGGCUAACUACGUG
rnacentral:rRNA from 1 species